UGGGGAAGUCUUGGACAAUGGGCGCAAGCCUGAUCCAGCCAUGCCGCGUGAGUGAUGAAGGCCUUAGGGUUGUAAACUACUUUCGUCGGGGACGCGGUACCCGAAGAAGAAGCCCCGGCUAACUUCGUGCCAGCAGCCGCGGUAAUACGAAGGGGGCUAGCGUUGUUCGGAUUUACUGGGCGUAAAGCGCGUGUAGGCGGGCUGGUAAGUUGGGGGUGAAAUCCCGAGGCUCAACUCGGGAACUGCCUCCAAAACUGUCAGCCUGGACUCAAGUAGAGGCAAGUGGAAUUGCGAGUGUAGAGGUGAAAUUCGUAGAUAUUCGCAGGAACACCAGUGGCGAAGGCGACUUGCUGGACUUGUAGUGACGCUGAGACGCGAAAGCGU
rnacentral:rRNA from 1 species